AUCGCUUCUUGGCCGUUUGGCUAAGAUCAAGUGUAG
rnacentral:snRNA from 1 species